GCCUUCGCUCCGGCAGCACAUGCACUAAAAUCUGAAGGAUACAGAGAUAGGGCCCCUGAGCAAAGACGACACGCAAAUUCGUGAAGCCUUCCAUUUAAAA
ensembl:snRNA U6 U6 spliceosomal RNA